rnacentral:rRNA from 1 species
AUUGAACGUUGGCGGCAUGGAUUAGGCAUGCAAGUCGAGCGAGAAGUGUAGCAAUACAUGGAAAGCGGCGGAAGGGAGAGUAAUACGUGGGAAUCUGCCCUUAGACCUGGGAUAGCAGCGGGAAACUGCUGGUAAUACCAGAUAAUGUCUAUGGACCAAAGGAGUGAUUCCGUCUAGGGAUGAGCCCACGUCCUAUUAGCUAGUUGGUAGGGUAAUGGCCUACCAAGGCGAUGAUGGGUAGCGGGUGUGAGAGCAUGACCCGCCUCACUGGGACUCAGACACUGCCCAGACACCUACGGGUGGCUGCAGUCGAGAAGCUUCGGCAAUGGGCGCAAGCCUGACCGAGCGAUGCCGCGUGCGGGAUGAAGGCCUUCGGGUUGUAAACCGCUGUCGAGGGGGAGCAACUUCCAUAGAGUUAUCUUUAUGGAUUGAGUGAUCCCUGGAGGAAGGACGGGCUAAGUUCGUGCCAGCCGCCGCUGUAACAC